rnacentral:rRNA from 1 species
UGGGUAGGGGAGCGUUCUGUAAGCCUGUGAAGGUGGCCUGUGAGGGUUGCUGGAGGUAUCAGAAGUGCGAAUGCUGACAUAAGUAACGAUAAAGCGGGUGAAAAGCCCGCUCGCCGGAAGACCAAGGGUUCCUGUCCAACGUUAAUCGGGGCAGGGUGAGUCGACCCCUAAGGCGAGGCCGAAAGGCGUAGUCGAUGGGAAACGGGUUAAUAUUCCCGUACUUGGUGUUACUGCGAAGGGGGGACGGAGAAGGCUAUGUUGGCCGGGCGACGGUUGUCCCGGUUUAAGCGUGUAGGUGUGUGUUCCAGGUAAAUCCGGUUCACUUUAACACUGAGGCGUGAUGACGAGGCACUACGGUGCUGAAGCAACAAAUGCCCUGCUUCCAGGAAAAGCCUCUAAGCAUCAGGUAACAUCAAAUCGUACCCCAAACCGACACAGGUGGUCAGGUAGAGAAUACCAAGGCGCUUGAGAGAACUCGGGUGAAGGAACUAGGCAAAAUGGUGCCGUAACUUCGGGAGAAGGCACGCUGACAUGUAGGUGAAGUGAUUUACUCAUGGAGCUGAAGUCAGUCGAAGAUACCAGCUGGCUGCAACUGUUUAUUAAAAACACAGCACUGUGCAAACACGAAAGUGGACGUAUACGGUGUGACGCCUGCCCGGUGCCGGAAGGUUAAUUGAUGGGGUCAGCGCAAGCGAAGCUCCUGAUCGAAGCCCCGGUAAACGGCGGCCGUAACUAUAACGGUCCUAAGGUAGCGAAAUUCCUUGUCGGGUAAGUUCCGACCUGCACGAAUGGCGUAAUGAUGGCCAGGCUGUCUCCACCCGAGACUCAGUGAAAUUGAACUCGCUGUGAAGAUGCAGUGUACCCGCGGCAAGACGGAAAGACCCCGUGAACCUUUACUAUAGCUUGACACUGAACAUUGAGCCUUGAUGUGUAGGAUAGGUGGGAGGCUUUGAAGCGUGGACGCCAGUCUGCGUGGAGCCGGCCUUGAAAUACCACCCUUUAAUGUUUGAUGUUCUAACGUGGACCCGUAAUCCGGGUUGCGGACAGUGUCUGGUGGGUAGUUUGACUGGGGCGGUCUCCUCCUAAAGAGUAACGGAGGAGCACGAAGGUUGGCUAAUCCUGGUCGGACAUCAGGAGGUUAGUGCAAUGGCAUAAGCCAGCUUGACUGCGAGCGUGACGGCGCGAGCAGGUGCGAAAGCAGGUCAUAGUGAUCCGGUGGUUCUGAAUGGAAGGGCCAUCGCUCAACGGAUAAAAGGUACUCCGGGGAUAACAGGCUGAUACCGCCCAAGAGUUCAUAUCGACGGCGGUGUUUGGCACCUCGAUGUCGGCUCAUCACAUCCUGGGGCUGAAGUAGGUCCCAAGGGUAUGGCUGUUCGCCAUUUAAAGUGGUACGCGAGCUGGGUUUAGAACGUCGUGAGACAGUUCGGUCCCUAUCUGCCGUGGGCGCUGGAGAACUGAGGGGGGCUGCUCCUAGUACGAGAGGACCGGAGUGGACGCAUCACUGGUGUUCGGGUUGUCAUGCCAAUGGCACUGCCCGGUAGCUAAAUGCGGAAGAGAUAAGUGCUGAAAGCAUCUAAGCACGAAACUUGCCCCGAGAUGAGUUCU